AGAUCAGCUGGAUUUCCAGGACACGGAGUGCGGUAACAAGCUCUGACCCGAACCCACAGCCACUCUGUGAAAGAAUUACAGGAAACAGCUGCAGUCUAGCGUCUCAAUAAAGGGACGCAAGGAUUCCGUGUGACCAGGCCUUCAGUGACUCCAGCAGUCGGAUUUGGAUCCCAGGAAACAAACAAGAACACUGGAGAUUAUUUCUGAAGCCAGAUCUCUGAAGUGACCAGUAUCUCUGGAUACUUAAAAAUAAAAACAUGACCGGCAAGAUGACUCGGGGGAGACAGAUGCUUGCUCACAGACCUGAGUCUGAUUGCCAGAAGCCGAGUAAAGGUGUGUUGGAGACCCCUGCAAGCCAUGUGCGGGCAAAGAGACUAUUUUGCAUGUGGUGAAGAAACUCGAGUUGGUACCAUUUUUGCAGCCUACAAUGUAUGCAGAGACUCCCUGCUGAACCAGAAGCCACACUACGCCAACCACCAGCAUACCCGGUAGGUCCCUACCAUGAGAGGGAGCUCAUGCCUGACACUGUCUGGAUGGCCAGAAACUGGAAGCUGGAGAGGCCAGAGACCUACAGCAGAAUCAAACAGCUGGGAAAAGGGGAAAAAGUCAGUACAAUGAUUCUUAAUAGCAAUCUGCUGUACUCACAGAUGCCUAGUCAGAAAGUCUUCCAACAGCUGAAGAGAGUCACCGCCAACCAUUAGGCAGAGCUUGGAGAACCCUAUGAAAGAAGAUGAGGAAGGAUUGUAGGCACCAGAGGGGUCAAGGACAGCAGGAAAACACUGCCCGCAGAAUCAGCUAAGCCUGGCUAAUAAGUGGCUCAGAAAGUGAAUUGGUCUCACAGAGUCUGCAUGGAUCUGCACUAAGUCUCUGUAUAUAUGUUGUGGCUGUUUAGCUUGGGGUUUUUAUGGGACUCUUAGCAAUAGGAGUAGGGGUUUCUCAGACUCUUUUGUCUGCUCUUGGGAUCCUCUUCCACUUACUGGCCCAGCCUAGAUACGAGGGUAUGUGCCUAGUCUUAUUGUAACUUGCCAUGCUGUGUUCAGUUGCUAUCUGUGGGAGGAGCAAUGAAUCUGGGAGAUGGAGGGUGGGGUGAGGAAAAACUGUGGUUUGGAUGUAUUGUAUAAGAGAAUAAAUAAAAAGAAAAAAAAACUUUGAGAAGGGGUUUCCAUGUGACCAUUAUCAUAACGAAACUUUAGGCAUGGCUACAUAGAAACUCCCUAGCGAGGUAGUA